rnacentral:rRNA from 1 species
CAAUAGCGUAUAUUAAAGUUGUUGCAGUUAAAAAGCUCGUAGUUGGAUUUCUGGUAGGAGUGACCGUUCCGAACUUGAUUGUUCGUGUAUUGUGUUUUCUCCAGCCAUCCCUGUGGAGAACUUUUCUUGCAUUAAUUUGUAGGGAUUGGGACCCGCAUCGUUUACUGUGAAAAAAUUAGAGUGUUUAAAGCAGGCAAUCGCUUGAAUACAUUAGCAUGGAAUAAUAAGAUAGGACUUUGGUACUAUUUUGUUGGUUUGCAUACCAAAUUAAUGAUCAACAGGAACAGUUUGAGGAUAUUCGUAUGAACAUGUCAGAGGUGAAAUUCUUGGAUUUUGAUCAGACGAACUACUGCGAAAGCAUUUAUCAAGGAUGUUUUCAUUAA